rnacentral:lncRNA from 1 species
AUGCAGUACCUUCCAUCCCAUUAUAGGGUGGCAGCCAAAGUUGCUGAAUCUGAUUCUUUGGUCCUUCAACAUCUGCACAAUUUGUGCUCUUGUGCAAGCUACCUGCAGUGGGUUACACAUGUUGAGCUUACCGGACACAAAGAAGUGUGCUACGCAACAGAAAAAACACAAUGCAGAUGUUACCUUUUCUAUCCAGUGAAACAAUUGCAUGCAGUAUAUGAGGAUGCAAGGAAUGUGACAGCGUAUAUGCUUCUGUGACCCAGUAGCCAUGGCAACUACAGUGCAAAGACACAUUAUCCUGGUGCUCAAUUCCAUCAGCAGCAGAACUGCAGUUAUUUAUGCUGGCCCCUUAACCAAAGAAUGAAAAGCUGCAUUUCAGUUCUGCAUUACAGUUUUAGUGGCUGCACAGUUUCACAGGGAAGAGACUGUGACUGCACCUUCUACGAUGAGAAACAGAAGAAAAACAUUUCACUGACAGGAACCAUUUAUUUGUCUUUCAUGGUAAUGUGGACCUGUCAAAUCUCAUGUGCUGAGUAUCAGACUUGCUCUUUUUGCCACUGCUAUCUCAUUCC